AGAAUCAACGCUGGCGGCGUGCCUAACACAUGCAAGUCGAACGAGAAAGUGGAGCAAUCCAUGAGUAAAGUGGCGACCGGGUGAGUAACACGUGACUAACCUACCUUCGAGUGGGGGAUAACAUCGGGAAACCGAUGCUAAUACCGCAUAACAUCGCAAGAUCAAAGCAGCAAUGCGCUGGAAGAGGGGGUCGCGGCUGAUUAGCUAGUUGGCGGGGUAACGCCCACCAAGGCGAAGAUCGGUAGCCGGCCUGAGAGGGCGCACGGCCACACUGGAACUGAAACACGGUCCAGACUCCUACGGAGGCAGCAGUGGGGAAUUUUGCGCAAUGGGGGAAACCCUGACGCAGCAACGCCGCGUGGAGGAUGAAGCCCCUUGGGGUGUAAACUCCUUUCGACCAAGACGAUAAUGACGGUACUGGUGGAAGAAGCACCGGCUAACUCUGCGCCAGCAGCCGC
rnacentral:rRNA from 1 species